rnacentral:rRNA from 1 species
UACGAAGGGGGCUAGCGUUGCUCGGCAUCACUGGGCGUAAAGCGCACGUAGGCGGCUUGCUAAGUCAGGGGUGAAAUCCUGGAGCUCAACUCCAGAACUGCCCUUGAUACUGGCGGUCUCGAGUCCGGGAGAGGUGAGUGGAACUGCGAGUGUAGAGGUGAAAUUCGUAGAUAUUCGCAAGAACACCAGUGGCGAAGGCGGCUCGCUGGCCCGAUACUGACGCUGAGGUGCGAAAGCGUGGGGAGCAAACAGG